UACGGAGGAUCCGAGCGUUAUCCGGAUUUAUUGGGUUUAAAGGGUGCGCAGGCGGGAUGUUAAGUCGGCGGUGAAAUUUUGCAGCUCAACUGUAAAAGUGCCUUCGAUACUGGCUUCCUUGAGUGUGGAUGAAGUAGGCGGAAUUUGUGGUGUAGCGGUGAAAUGCAUAGAUAUCACGAGGAACUCCGAUUGCGCAGGCAGCUUACUAAACUACUACUGACGCUCAGGCACGAAGGCGUGGGGAUCAAACAGGAUUAGAUACCCCGGUA
rnacentral:rRNA from 1 species